rnacentral:rRNA from 1 species
GAUGAACGCUAGCUCCAGGCUUAACACAUGCAAGUCGAGGGGAAACGGCAUCGAAAGCUUGCUUUUGAUGGGCGUCGACCGGCGCACGGGGGAGUAACGCGUAUCCAACCUGCCCAUCACUUGGGAAUAACCUUGCGAAAGUAAGACUAAUGCCCAAUGACAUCCCACGAAGGCAUCCGAAUGGGAUUAAAGAUUUAUCGGUGAUGGAUGGGGAUGCGUCUGAUUAGCUAGUUGGCGGGGUGACGGCCCACCAAGGCAACGAUCAGUAGGGGUUCUGAGAGGAAGGUCCCCCACAUUGGAGCUGAGACACGGUCCAAACUCCUACGGGAGGCAGCAGUGCGGAAUAUUGGGCAAUGGGCGAGAGCCUGAACCAGCCAAGUAGCGUGCAGGAUGACGGCCCUAUGGGUUGUAACCUGCUUUUAUAAGGGAAUAAAGUGGGUCACGUGUGACUUUUUGCAUGUACCUUAUGAAUAAGGACCGGCUAAUUCCGUG